rnacentral:rRNA from 2 species
CUGGUGUCAGCCGCCGCGGUAAUACCAGCACCCCGAGUGGUCGGGACGAUUAUUGGGCCUAAAGCAUCCGUAGCCGGUACUGCAAGUCUUCCGUUAAAUCCACCUGCUCAACAGUUGGGCUGCGGAGGAUACUACAGCGCUAGGAGGCGGGAGAGGCAAGCGGUACUCAUUGGGUAGGGGUAAAAUCCACUGAUCCAUUGAAGACCACCAGUGGCGAAGGCGGCUUGCCAGAACGCGCUCGACGGUGAGGGAUGAAAGCUGGGGGAGCAAACCGGAUUAGAUACCCGGGUAGUCCCAGCUGUAAACGAUGCAGACUCGGUGAUGGGCUGGCCUUGUGCCAACCCAGUGCCGCAGGGAAGCCGUUAAGUCUGCCGCCUGGGGAGUACGGUCGCAAGACUGAAACUUAAAG